GUUUGGAUCUUCUGCCCCCCGAAAGGAUUGUUUGAGCUUCAUACUGAGCAGGGGAUUCAUCUCCACAAGAACGGUUCAAGUGCCGCAGGAAAUCUAAGUGGCAGUCAGCUCCACCGCUCCUCAAGGAACCAACUUAACCUGGGUAAAUCCUGUCCGCCCUCCAACGAGUCAACAAUUUCUGGAACAACCUACACCGACUGGAUUCUCGGAAGGACACCUUUUCUGGAAUCUGCCGGUUCACCAGCGUUCAGAGUAACACUGGACCCAUCUCGACUUGUUUUCAAUAAACCUGUUAAACCUUC